rnacentral:rRNA from 1 species
AUUCCAGCUCCAAUAGCGUAUAUUAAAGUUGUUGCAGUUAAAAAGCUCGUAGUUGGAUUUGUGGUGUGUCCAGUCGACCUUUGCUCUUUGAGUGAUUGUGUUGUACUGGUCUGCCAUGUUUGGGUGGAAUCUGUAUGGCAUUAAGUUGUCGUGCAGGGGAUGCCCAUCGUUUACUGUGAAAAAAUUAGAGUGUUCAAAGCAGGCUUAUGCCGUUGAAUAUAUUAGCAUGGAAUAAUGAUAUAGGACCUUGGUACUAUUUUGUUGGUUUGCGCACUAAGGUAAUGAUUAAGGGGGACAGUUGGGGGUAUUUGUAUUCCAUUGUCAGAGGUGAAAUUCUUGGAUUUUUGGAAGACAAACUACUGCGAAAGCAUUUACCAAGGAUGUUUUCAUCA